rnacentral:tRNA from 1 species
CGGAAAGUAGGUUAGUGGCUAUACCGCCAGGUUUGGGACCUGGAUGUCGGGGGUUCGAAUCCCCCCUUUCCGA